AUCGCUUCUCGGCUCUUUGAGCUAAGAUCAAUGUGUAGUAUCUGUUCUUAUCAGCUUAAUAUCUGAUACGCUCUCCAUCGGGGAGCCAGAAUAUUAAACUGUUUUUUGGAAAGUGGCGGAGAGUUUCUGGAGCUUGCUUCGGCUCCGCCGCGGUCGUCCCUGCUUUGCAGUACCGUGGGGCACGGCCUGUUAGU
rnacentral:snRNA from 1 species